UCAUACUCUAUCCGCGCGUUCGUGGACAUCGGAAAAACAUUUUUCCGAGUUAAAACGUCACCAUUCAUGCGACUUCCUGUGGGAAUCAGAGGUGGAAAACUAAAGAUUUUGUUUCCCAGUUGGUGACAUGUUGCUGACAAUUGAUGUCUGAUGUAGGUGACUUUGGUUCACUGAAACAAUUUCAAUGACAAUAAACUGUUUAUGGUGGACAAAUGCCU